GUUGAACGCUGGCGGCAGGCCUAACACAUGCAAGUCGAACGAGAGGCGGACGGGCGAGUAAUGUCUGGGAAACUGCCCGAUGGAGGGGUACAACAACUGGAAACGGUAGAUAACUGCGCACACCAUCGUUUGUGCCCAGAUGGGAUUAGUUAGUAGGUGGGGCAAAGGCCCAUCUAGGCGACGAUCCCUAGCUGGUCUGAGAGGAUGACCAGCCACACUGGAACUGAGACACGGUCCAGACUCCUACGGGAGGCAGCAGUGGGGAAUAUUGCACAAUGGGCGCAAGCCUGAUGCAGCCAUGCCGCGUGUGUGAAGAAGGUCUUCGGAUUGUAAAGUACUUUCAGCGGGGAGGCGUUACCCAAAGAAGAAGCACCGGCUAACUCCGUGCCAGCAGCCGCGGUAAUAC
rnacentral:rRNA from 1 species